GGGAUAACCGGGAGAAAUUCCGACUAAUACCGCAUACGUCCUCCGGGGGCAUCCCCGGAGGAUGAAAGAUUUAUCGGUGAAGGAUGGGCAUGCGUGAUAUUAGGUAGUUGGCGGGGCAACGGCCCACCAAGCCCACGAUAUCUAGGGGUUCUGAGAGGAAGGUCCCCCACAUUGGUACUGAGACACGGACCAAACUCCUACGGGAGGCAGCAGUGAGGAAUAUUGGUCAAUGGACGAGAGUCUGAACCAGCCAAGUCGCGUGAAGGAAGACGGAUCUAUGGUUUGUAAACUUCUUUAGUGCGGGAACAAAGCGGCGUCGUGACGCCGGAUGAGUGUACCGCAAGAAUAAGCAUCGGCUAACUCCGUGCCAGCAGCCGCGGUAAUACGGAGGAUGCGAGCGUUAUCCGGAUUUAUUGGGUUUAAAGGGAGCGCAGGCUGCGAGGCAAGUCAGCGGUCAAAUGUCGGGGCUCAACCCCGGCCUGCCGUUGAAACUGUCCUGCUAGAGUUCGAGUGAGGUAUGCGGAAUGCGUUGUGUAGCGGUGAAAUGCAUAGAUAUGACGCAGAACUCCGAUUGCGAAGGCAGCAUACCAACUCGCGACUGACGCUGAGGCUCGAAAGCGUGGGUAUCGAACAGGAUUAGAUACCCUGGUAGUCCACGCAGUAA
rnacentral:rRNA from 1 species